rfam:Cyclospora cayetanensis strain CHN_HEN01 contig_1147, whole genome shotgun sequence.
GACGCUUGAGGAUGACCGCAUAGUUCAGCUGAGGGGUUAUUAUUACGCCUCCAUGCAGACUAUUCUUUCGCUCCUAUCUGAUAAGCUGU